rnacentral:rRNA from 1 species
UGGGGAAUAUUGCACAAUGGGGGAAACCCUGAUGCAGCAACGCCGCGUGAAGGAAGAAGGUUUUCGGAUCGUAAACUUCUAUCAAUAGGGACGAAGGAAAUGACGGUACCUAAAUAAGAAGCCCCGGCUAACUACGUGCCAGCAGCCGCGGUAAUACGUAGGGGGCGAGCGUUAUCCGGAAUUACUGGGUGUAAAGGGAGCGUAGGCGGCAUGGUAAGUAAGAUGUGAAAGCCCGCAGCUUAACUGCGAGGAUUGCAUUUUAAACUAUCAAGCUAGAGUACAGGAGAGGAAAGCGGAAUUCCUAGUGUAGCGGUGAAAUGCGUAGAUAUUAGGAAGAACACCAGUGGCGAAGGCGGCUUUCUGGACUGAAACUGACGCUGAGGCUCGAAAGCGUGGGGAGCGAACA